GGUCUGGCUGUUGUGGUGUGCAAAAUCCUGUGCAUUCCUUUUUGCCACACUGCAACACUUUACAGA
rnacentral:pre_miRNA from 1 species